rnacentral:lncRNA from 1 species
CAACAGCCCUCUGGGAGCGCAGGUGGAAGAGUGAAUAGAUCAGCUGGAUAGGAGUGAGGAGUUGGAGGAAGGGUUGGGGUAUGGCCAGUGCAGUUAAGUGACUUGCCUUAGUGCACACCCCCCGAGAGUGACAGCACCAGCAUUUGAACCCUGACACAAACAUCUCCAAAACUGCAUUCUUCCCACUGUGCCACAGUUAAGACGAGUCCACCAGCCCUGUUUAGACUUUGGUGUUUGAACUGGGUUUUGAAGGCAAAAGAGUCAGAUAGACAAAUGAAAGAGAGGGAAAAGUCACUCCAGGCAGCAGGAACAGCAUGUGCGAAAU